rnacentral:lncRNA from 1 species
AUCUGCCCACAGCCGCACAGGCCAGGGCGCAGGUACAUCUGUUGGUGCUCAGGCCUCAGAUAAAACCAUCUCAUAUGGCCAGUGACCGCUUUCCCCCUUCAGGAAAAUUCUGUGGCCGUGCAGCACUUUGAAGUUUUAGUUAUUAACCUGCUUUCAUUGAAGCAGUUUCCUUUCUUAUAAAAUGGAAUCACCAAAUCUUAUCACACAGAGCAAAGUCCUGUAGUUACCCAGCCCGCUCCAACAGUGGGGGGGAUUGUAAGGAAGCAGUGGCAGUUGGUGAAGCAAGUGUCACAUUUCGGCGUUCUUGGCCAGUGGAUACAAAGAUAAAGAAAACGUUGCCUUUUUCUAGGAACUGUCAGAAAUCCUCAUGCCUUUCACGACUUCUAUGAAUGACUUGAAUUUUUUAUUCCCUGCCUAGGGUCUGUGAACAAGGCCUGUCUCUUCCCUGCGGUUUCUUUCCAUGGCCUUUAUUUCUCCUCUUCCAGUGGGAGUUUUGCAGGCUCUUCUCCGUGGAAACUUCACGAGCGUUGGCUGGGCCUCGGCUUCGCUGGAGUGUACUCCAGGGUGAAGGCAGAGUGGGAUCUGAGACCCAGGUAGUGGAGGAAACGAAGGAAGUGAACGCUGAAUGUGACACAUUUCUGAAGAGCUCAGCUGUCACCGGGCAUAGCCUGGAAGCCCCAAGUCUGUUCUGACUUUGCCUGGCUGUCUCUCUGACCCGCCUCCUAGACCAUUGUCCUUGAUGUCCAGGCUGGGUCAUUUAAAAUAGAGAUGCAAUCAGGAAGGUUGGGGGACUUGGGACUGUGGCUGAAUUGAGACCUUGCUGAUGUAUUCAUGUCAGCACUUGAGUCACAGCCCAGGUGCCCGGAAGCAGCCUCUUCACACAGGCAGUGAUUUGCGAUUACUUUAAAGCUCACCCUUUUUCUUCCCCUCUCUUUUCGCUGCUGUCAGCAUAAUGAUUGUGUUCCUUCCCUAUGGGAUCCAUCUGUUUUGUAAACAAUAAAGCGUCUGAGGGAGUGUAGUUGUCUUCUGUCUCCCGGUCUGUGCUGACUGUGUGCGGAGGCCU